rnacentral:tRNA from 1 species
GCCUGGGUCGCUCAGUCGGUUGAGCGUCUGACUCCAGCUCAGGUCGUGAUCUCACGGUUCGUGGGUUCAAGCCCCACGUCGGGCC